rnacentral:tRNA from 1 species
CCCUGGUUAGCUCAGUGGUAGAGCGCUCCACUUGAAAUGGAGAGGUCCCGGGUUUGAUUCCCGGGCCAGGCG